ACAUAGUAUAUGUAGGGUUCCAUACUAUCCAUGGUUUCAGGCAUCCGCUUAGGGGGCUUAGGACGUAUUUUCUGAGGAUAAGGGGGAGACUGCUGUAUUUCUUCCCUUUUUUGGGCGAGAACAUUUAAAUUCUGCUUUCAGCAAAUUUCAAGUAAUACAAUACAGUGUUAUCAACUAAAGUCACCAUGUUAUACAUCAGAUCCUCACACCUUAUUCAUCUUGUAGCAGAGUUUAUACCUUUUUAUCAAGGGUCCCUAUUUCCCCCCAACUCCUGGGAACCACUUUUCUACUCUUUAUAAACAAGAUCUUUACCAGACUAGAAUACCACUUUAUAAUGAAAUAGAGAAUGACUAUGAAAAUCAUGUGGUGUUUUCUUUCCUAUACUUGACGGCAACAAUGUUCGAUGGCUUUGUUUUCAUUACUUUGGCAGUUGUUGAACUUGAAGAUGUUAUGCAUUUUUUCCUUUGCAAAAUAGUGUCCCAAAUUUGUUGACCUUUUCCUUUUCCUUGGCUGUCCAUAGUUUUUCUGGUAGAUAUUUAAAGUACAAAAACAAACUCCAUAAUCUUCUUAUACAAUAAAGGUGAUAAAUUAAAAAAUGAAUAAGAAAUAACUCCUUUUGAAAAAAGCAUAGGCCAUAGAGUAUUUUGAAGAUUAAUGUUUGAAAAAUUCCCAUUGUUAAUAUGGUUUUGUUGCAAAAAAAGUAAAUAUUUCAUGCAUAACAAUUUUCAUUGGAAACUAGUGUGUUUAAAAAUAUUUUCAAAUGAUAUAUUUUAGAGUUUGAAGCAAUAUGUUUAAGUUUACACCAACGGAACAUUCAGUGAGUAAAUAUAGCAGGAUGAAAAUUUACCAACUCAUUUUUUUAAGUUUUUAUUUUAAUUCCAGUUUACUAGCUCAUUUUUAACAAAACUUCUGCCUAAACGGUAGGUAGCGUUGAGCAAUGACUGUCAGGACUUAGGACCAGCCAAGGACAAACUUUCCACCUGCCUCUGUGUGACAGCAUGCAGACCAAGGAUGUCCAUACAUAAGCCCACACCCAAAUCUUCUAAUCCUUUGUUUUCUUCCAAUAUAUAUAUUUUUUAUCAACAACCAAGAUAUUUUAUAAAAUUAGGGAAUUUUCAUUCAUAAUUGUGUUUAUAAAAACAUCUAGAAAAAUAACAAUUUUGAGGAGGAUAGUUUUAUACCUUCUAUUUUUAGCAUUUUUAUUGUAUACAACUUACUAUAGUGCUUGUGUGUGAUUAUACAUAAAUAUUAAUAAAAGGGGUGAUGUUUUUUUCUAAACCGAAGUGGUACAUGAUUUUCAGAGGUGGGAUUAAAAAUGUUUACAGUCCUGGCAACUGAAACCCAAAAAAGCAAAUUGAAUUGAUUCAGGGGUCUCAGACCAGAACUGGAACUUAGGUCUGUCUUUUCCUAUGUGGGUUUUUUUCCAUCUUACACCCUUUUAAUGUAUUUUUAUUGCCUUAGGUGAAGAGGAUUGUGUUGAAACACAUUUACAUCUGCUGGAGAAUUGGAGCAUGAGCGGUGGGACUCACUCUUUUGUUUGGUUAUGAUACAGCUGGUGGUAGAAACCUGAACUCUCAGAGAUACACAUCUCCAUAGGAAAAGCAGUGGGUGAUGGGAUAAAACACUAAGUCUCAAACCUGAGUUUCACUUUUUCCAUAAAGAACUGUAUUUUUUUGUCCCUUAACUCCUUGAUGGUUGGAUCCAAGUUUUCUAAUUAUUUUUGUGUCGCCUUCAUGGUGAUUAGCACUGGGUAUGAGGGCAUGAUGGUCUAAUGGUUAAGAAAAUAGUGACUGUUGAGAGUCACAGGGUCUGUGGUAUGGCUGUCUACUAGAGGUAUAAACUUGACUGAUGGCCUUUCCAUGCCUUGCUUUUCUCAUGUGUAAAACAGAAGUAAUAAGUGGGUUACUAAUAGACUAUAUCUCAUGAGCUUCUUGUGACCAAGAACUGAGUUAAUUCAUGUAAAGCUCUUAGAAAAGUGGCUGACAGAUAGAAUGGUGAUAGCUGAGUUUUGGAAGAAAGGAUAAAGAAACUAUCUUCUAGAACCUUUAUUUCAGCUUUUGAGAUGAAAGAGGAUUGGAAUAAUCUUAGCAGAUUGACAGCAUACAGGGCAACUGUGUUCCUAAUUCUGGUCUUGAUGAGGAUUUUGACUUUUAUGUAUUUAUAAAUACAUACAAUUAUAAAAAGAUUGUCUUUUAUGUAUUUAUAACACUAGGUGGCAGUGUUAGCACAAGAUGGGAAAUCCAGAGUAGUUUUUGUUUGUUUUUUCUUUUUUCUUCUCUUGCCUCUCCCAGAUUUAUAACUUUCUAGUCAGCUUUUGAAUCUCUGAUCAGUCCAAUAUUAGUAGUCUUAGCACAUCCCAGAGCUGAUUCCUAGCAGAGAACGGCUAAAGGAUUAACAGGAAAUUUAAAUGAUCAUUGUCUCCUAUGGGCUUGUAGCAUUGUGGAAAAGUUAAGGUGGCUUUUCUACUGUGCAGGAAUGGAUUAGGGAAGGCUUUAGUGCAGUAAGCAGUGGCCUAGAGAGACCGUGCCUCUCCCCCAGUACGCCAGCUUUGAGAGGCUGUCAUGUUUCAGGAAUCUCCAUGCUUCUUCUGCUAAUGAGCCACGUACACUUAGCAGUGAGGAUUCUGCUGCAGCCAUUUCUUGCUGACUCUCUCUGUGGGGGAGGCAAGUCUUUAUUUGCUAGAACACUUGGGUCUUGAUUUUAAAACUGCCAGUGUUUUAAAUAAAGUUUUUAUUCGUUUUAGAUUGUUUACCCGGGGCUCCUUCAAGAAAACAGUAAGCAGACUGCUGGAAUUAUCACCUGUUAAAAUGAAAUAUGCAGCUGGCCCAAGUGGGCAAAGGCAUGAGGACCACAGGGACGUGAGGGCUGCUCUUGCUUCUUCUUUGAACUGCAUGUUCAGUGUUAAUUGAGCCCAGAGAGUUCUCAUUAGGCAGAUCAACCCUUCAUUGGAUUUCAGCAUCUCUUUCUCUCUCUCCAUGCACACACACAUAUUUUUGUUCAUUCAAACCACAAAUAUUGAGUGCCCACUAUGAGCCAGGCACUGAUCUCAAAGAUGCAGAUAAGGCAGUGAACGAAACAAGUGAUGACACCUCUCUCACAGAGUUUAUAUCACGGUAUGAGACGCACAAAUAUGGCAGGUGGUAAGUGUUGUGAAGUAAAGUGGUAUAAAUGGGUAGUAAUGGGAAAUAAAGCGGAUUCCAUUUUAGAGUGACCAAGGAAGGAUUCUUGGCUAUGGUGAAGUCUAAGCAGACACCUGAAUUGCUAAAGACUGAAUGGUCCACGACCCCCCAUUCAUAUGUUAAAUCCUAAUGUUCAUUGUGGUGGUAUUUGGAGGUGGGGUUGUGGGGAGGUGAUUAGGUCAUGGGAGUGGAGCCCUCAAGAAUGAGAUUAGUGUUCUUAUAAUUGAGGUCUUAGUUGUCUUUUCCACCAUGUGAGGGCAUAGCGAAAUGACAGCCAUCUAAUAACUAGGAAGGGGUAUUUCACCAGACACUGAAGCAGUGCCCUGAUCUAGGACUUCCCAGCCUCCAAAACUAUGAGUAAUAAAUUUCUGUAUAUAAGCUACCAACACAUGGUAUUCUCUUACAACAACAGCCUGAGGGGACUAAGACAUGAAUGAAAUGAGGUAGUGAAUGUGUAGUUUAUUGGGGUAAGAACAUUUCAGAGGGUGGUGCAUACAAAUGGUCUGAGGAAAUUGGGGGGUGAGGCACUGAGGCAGGAGGGGCAGAUACAAACUGAUGGGGGCCUCAAGCUUGUGAAAAUUAGUCACCCUCUUUAAGAGGGAAUGCAAAAAUAAAUACAAGAGUAAACAUUUACGAAAGAAAAUCCCAAGAAAUUACAAAAUUGAAAAAGCUGACAAGUUGUACAAGCAUCAGAGUCUAGUUAGGGCAUUUUACCCAUUAACUGCCCGACACACGUGUAGAAUGAUUUUCCCUUACAGUUUUGGCUGUGCACUCUUUGAUUACUUCUUCAUUCAACUUUGAUGGUGUAAUACAUGUUUAUGGAGACAAUAGAUAAUUUAGUCUUUCCUUUAGCAUCAUUGAGCAAAAUAUUACUGAUGGUUUAUACAUUUCUUUCAGCUUCACACCUUUUUUUUUUGUUUCUGCCAUGUGAAUUUCCAAAGUUCUCAAAAUUGGAAAAUCUCACAAAUUUCUUUCAGAUAUGAACUGUAAGAUUUGAAAGAUUUUUCCACAAAGUGGCUUUCAGUUUUAUUCAUUUCUAUCCUUGUUUUUUUAACCUCUGACCAAAUAUUUCUAAAGCUGGAUGUUGUGGGACCACAUUCACAUCUCAUUUGACUUUUGUCUUCACUGGCACAUCAUGACAUUGUAGAAUGGGUCAGCAUGGAGGAGGACAGCCAUUUCCUGAAAGUCCUUCCUAUGCCAAGAUAGCUAACAACAUGCAGAAGUAACAAGGCACGGGGACAUAUCACACAAAUGAAAUCCUGGAAUCAACUUCUUUUUAGCUAGAUCCUCAAAAUGCCCAGGGCCACUCCACAGCUGUCUGAUAAGAGGAGGGACACUAAUGGAGGGAAAAUAGGACUGGAAAGAGACAGAGGUCUUAACUGAUUGUGGUUCAAGUAUUUCUCUUUUUUAAACUUUACCAAAUCUUAGGACUAUGUCAACACAUCACUAUACCAGUAAGGGGCCCGAAUCUUAUGCUUUAUUAAUUUCAUGGUAAAACUGUCUCUUCCAGGGUAGGAAGAUACCCCUGCCCCACUGUUAGGUCAUUAAAGGGAGAGUAGAUCCAAGAGCGUGGGAUUUGUUGAGGAGAGUGAUAUGACAAAGUUCCAGAACAUACCCAACAGGCCAUGGCAGACAGAUUUCCCAUCUUGUACAGUUGUGCUUCUCCCCAGAGGACAUGAGACUGUGGGAUAAACAUGGGAGGGUCAUUUUACUGGAUGGGUGGUGAUGGUGGUGGGUGGAGGGGAGGUGGGGUUAGGCCAUUUCACUGUUAGUUACCAUUUUCAUAUUGAAAUAUUUAAAAAAUGUCAAUCCCACUUAUAAAGUAUAUUGAUCAGAUGUGAAUUUUUAGGUCGAAAUAAUCUUCCAGAAGAAUUUUUCCUUUAAGUGGCCUGUGUUAGGGACAUGGCCAUGACCUUUCCACAGUUAGGGCUUUCUUGGUAGGAAAUUCAGAGAAGUGUACUUUGACUAGAAGUUCCAUCUUAUAAUGGCCUAUGGUCUCUUGUCCACCAGUGUGACACUGCUGAUGUCACCGGAACUGACAGGUUUUUAUUUGUUUUUUUCAUAGUCGUGGUUCUUCACACAACCUUUUUGUAUGGAUAAGGAAUAUGGCAUAGAGGUUAAGAGUGCAGGUCUUUUUUUUUUAAUGCUUAUUUAUUUAUUCUGAGAGAGAGUGUGUGAAAGGGGGAAGGGCAGAGGGAGAGGGAGACAGAGGAUCUAAAGAGAUUUGAAGCAGGCCCUGCUGUCAGCACAGAGCCUGAUAUAGGGCUUGAACCGUGAGAUCAUGACCUGAGCCAAAGUCAGAUGCUUAACCGACUGAGUCUCCCAGAUGCCCCACAAGUGCAGAUUUUGGUGCCAAAAUGUGGCUUUUCCUUGGGCUCCACUACUCACUUUCUGGAUGCCUCACCAUUCUGCUUCCUCCUCUGUAAAAUGGGGAUCAUGAAUCAUGCAGUUAUUAUGAGCAUUAACUGAAUUAAUCUUCGGCAUGAGUCAGUGCCUGGCACAAAGUAUGUAUGCUAUUUGUCAUGUCAGCUACUUGAAUGAUGUCUCCGUGUGUGACUCCUACGCAGCCUCUCCCCUUUACUUCUUAUCCAUCCUCACUGAGAGACAAGUUGUUGGCGUUCAUGGUGCCACUUCUGAAACGUGUUGGAAGGCCCAGCUAAUCAGGAUGAGGCUCGCCACCAGGCCUCAUGAAGGCCAUGGUCCACUCCCAUCAUAUUUUGAGCAGGCGUCUUAUGGCAGAAACUUUUCACUCUGAAUAAAAUCAUGUAAAAUGUGGCUGCUUAGUUUAAAUCAGAGAUGGGACGUCCAGAAGCCCACCUAUUUGUGCCCCGUCUGUAGUACUGUCCCCAAUUUAUCCUUCUACAAAUCCACAGAGUCAUAAUCCUGUGUGCCAACCGAACUUCUAGCCAAAUUGUCAGUUGGAAUGAUUUGAGUUUCUUCUCUGGGUCCUGCCCUGUGUAUUUUAUAGUUUUAGGUGGAAGAAAAUUGAGGGCUGGCUGCCCUCAUUUUAGAUUCAACUACCACUUCUUGAACAUCUAAACAUCAUGCCACAAACUCUCAUUAUUAACCUGAAAAGUGUGCAUUGUAUUUUCAGAUGCAUCUAGUAAGCCUCAGAGAGUUAAGAUCCUUGCUCACAACAGAGCCAUCAUGACUUCGAAACACUUCUUAAAAUGCUCUAGACUUUAUGCCCACCUUUUAGUGCAACUGAAAUCGGUCUCAACUUGCAUUUAUAUAAAACUCUGUUAUGUAAAAAAUUCUUUUACUUUUGAAAUGUUGGCAUUUGGUACUCAAAUAUCAUUUUUUUCUCCUCAAGUAUUUGUUCUCAAACUAGGCUUUUCCAGUUGACAAAAUUGAGUUUCUGAAGAUUAGUUGAAGACCACAGAACAAGUGAGAGACAUAACUGGGAUUCCAACCAGGUCAUCUGGCCUCAAGCCCAGGGUACCCAGCCCACCAUGACUCAGGUGAAGGUCUAAAGUCCAUACCGCACUUUCCCAUACAGGCUGCUGCUUCUCAGAGGCCCUCCGCCUUCUCCAGAUCCUCUGCUGUUGUAUGUCCUCAAGGCACACAAAGGAGAGUCCAUUUAACCCAGUGACGAAGAUACCAUUGCAAUUUCCAGUGAGCAAAUGACAUAUGUAAUGGUCCAACAUAAAGACAGUAAUGCUCCUGUUAUUAACCCAGCUCACAAGGGACCAAGAGGAAUGAAGUUAAUAAGAAGGAACAAUCUGAAAGCUCUGGCUGAAAGGUAUUAUUUAAGCCACUGGAGAAAACUAUCCAAUUAUGGAUAAGGGAGUAGAACUGAUGUAAACUUGUGGGUUUUUUCCAUUUAUGUAAAUUAAUGGUAAGAGGUCUAGAACAUACAAUUUUCUUACUUACAUUUUAUUCUUUUGCUGGUAGAUAGAAAUAAAGGCACCCAGCUGCAAAAGAAAGUUGAGAAUAGUGGGACUGAAAUAGCUAUUCUUCUUGUUUCCUUGCCCUGUAGCUAGCCUGGUCUGUUAUUCAUGCUGCACGUUCUGGCAGUGGCUUGCCCCCCCUCCACCCCACCCUGCAUGCACCCCGCCUCCCACACCAAGCAAUACCCAGUGCUCAGUGCAGUGUAAAGAUUCUUUGGAAGUUGUUUAGAUGAAUACAUAAUAAUUUUUCAUACAUUCAAAAUACUGUUUAUUCCUUGAACUCACAAGAGAGAAACUCUAAUCAUGGCAAUAUUAAGUACUAUAAUGAACCACAGGAUAGCAGAUGGGCCCUGGGGUAAACCUUUUCUGUACUAUUGAUUUACUUAUUUGGUUUCCUUGUAAAAUGUCCGUGACCUGAACCAUUGCUGCAGAAUACAAAUACAAGUUUCUGACCCAA